rnacentral:misc_RNA from 1 species
GAUGAAGAACGUAGUGAAAUGCGAUAAGUAGUGUGAAUUGCAGAAUUCAGUGAAUCAUCGAAUCUUUGAACGCACAUUGCGCCCCUUGGUAUUCCAUGGGGCAUGCCUGUUCGAGCGUCACUACACACCUUAUCACAAUAUUUGUGGUCUUGGCAGGAGUGAAUUGCUGGUCUAUGGAAGUAUUCCAGCAGUACACAAUGCUAAAAAAUAUGGGAAGGUUACCAGAUAUGAACAACAGACUUUGUAAAUGGUUGUAGGACCUAGAUCAGUCACAAGUCAUGUCUGGUCCCUUACCUUAAGGACCCCCAUCCUAGAUGAACUAUGGGUUGACCUCGGAUCAGGUAGGAAUACCCGCUGAACUUAAGCAUAUCAAUAAGCGGAGGA